rnacentral:rRNA from 1 species
CAGCCGCCGCGGUAAUACGGGGGGGGCAAGUGUUAUUCGGAAUGACUGGGCGUAAAGGGCACGUAGGCGGUGAAAAGGGUGGAAAGUGAAAGUCGCCAAAACACUGGCGGGGUGCUUUCUUGACCAUUUCACUUGAGUGAGAUAGGGGAGAGUGGAAUUUCGUGUGGAGGGAUCAAAUCCUAAGAUAUACGAAGGAACGCCAACCGCGAAGGCAGCUCUCUGGGUCCCCACUGACGCUGGGGUGCGAAAGCAUGGGGAGCAAACAGGAUCAGAUACCCCCGUAGUCCCUGUCUCUUAUACA